rnacentral:tRNA from 1 species
GAGAGAGAUUUGAUCAUAACGAAAACUGCUAAUUUUCGCCCUCUUGGUUUAAUUCCAAGACUCCCUCG